rnacentral:misc_RNA from 1 species
AACGCAAAUUGCGCUUUCGGGAUAGGCCUGAAAGCACGUUUCUUUGAGUAUCGAUUCAACCAACGCUCGAUGGCGUUCUUAAUUGAACUGCUAAUCUGGCUGUAUUGAGUUUCUUGCUUUUAAUCGAGCAAGUAACUUGAAGAAUCGACAGUGAAAUGGAUGAUUGAAAUAACAUCCUGAACCUGUCAGCAUAAGCAAUGCGGUUAAACUAUUGCGUUGUGAGCUGAUGGACGAAAGAUGUACAUUCGGUUGUCCGAGAUCAUUGUUUCUUUCAAUAAUCUCUACAAACUUUGAUUAAGAUCUCAAAUGAAGCGAGGAUACCCGCCGAACUUAA